GAUGAACGCUGGCGGCGUGCCUAAUACAUGCAAGUCGAGCGAACAGACGAGGAGCUUGCUCCUCUGACGUUAGCGGCGGACGGGUGAGUAACACGUGGAUAACCUACCUAUAAGACUGGGAUAACUUCGGGAAACCGGAGCUAAUACCGGAUAAUAUAUUGAACCGCAUGGUUCAAUAGUGAAAGACGGUUUUGCUGUCACUUAUAGAUGGAUCCGCGCCGCAUUAGCUAGUUGGUAAGGUAACGGCUUACCAAGGCAACGAUGCGUAGCCGACCUGAGAGGGUGAUCGGCCACACUGGAACUGAGACACGGUCCAGACUCCUACGGGAGGCAGCAGUAGGGAAUCUUCCGCAAUGGGCGAAAGCCUGACGGAGCAACGCCGCGUGAGUGAUGAAGGUCUUCGGAUCGUAAAACUCUGUUAUUAGGGAAGAACAAAUGUGUAAGUAACUAUGCACGUCUUGACGGUACCUAAUCAGAAAGCCACGGCUAACUACGUGCCAGCAGCCGCCGUAAUAC
rnacentral:rRNA from 1 species